GCACCCGUGGCUCAAUGGAUAGAGCAUCGGUCUUCGAAACCGACGGUUGCAGGUUCGAGUCCUGCCGGGUGCGCCA
rnacentral:tRNA from 1 species